UGGCGUAAACAAAGGGAAGCGAGCCGGUGACGGUGGGCAAAUCCCAAAAAUAACGUCCCAGUUCGGAUUGUAGUCUGCAACCCGACUACAUGAAGCUGGAAUCGCUAGUAAUCGCGGAUCAGAAUGCCGCGGUGAAUACGUUCCCGGGUCUUGUACACACCGCCCGUCACACCAUGGGAGUCGGAAAUGCCCGAAGCCGGUGACCCAACCAAAAGGAGGGAGCCGUCGAAGGCAGGUCUGAUAACUGGGGUGAAGUCGUAACAAGGUACC
rnacentral:rRNA from 1 species